UACAGAGGUGGCUAGCGUUGUUCGGAAUUACUGGGCGUAAAGGGAGCGCAGGCGGCUAAAUCAGUCUGAAGUGCAAGCCCGGGGCUCAACCCCGGAAUCGCUUUGGAUACUAUUUGGCUUGAGUAUGUCAGAGGUGAGCGGAAUUCCAGGUGUAGCGGUGAAAUGCGUAGAUAUCUGGAGGAACAUCCGUGGCGAAGGCGGCUCACUGGGACAACACUGACGCUGAGGCUCGAAAGCGUGGGGAGCGAACGGG
rnacentral:rRNA from 1 species